CUAACCAACCAAGGUCAGCAUGGUGCAAAGAAGUGGUCUACAUUUAACAUUUUGCAGUAAGUGGAGAAUUUUCACCUUUUUACUUGAAGGAAGGAUUUGACAGCUUCUUUUGGGCAUAUCAGAAUCGCCAGCAUCACUACUCUUGCACUGUGCGGCCAUUAUUAAGUGAAAUAAGGAUUACUUGAACACAAGCACUGCAAUGCCGCUACAGUCAAUGUGAUAACCCAGCUGGUGACUAAGUGACCAAGGACGGGGAGUAUCUACAGCGGGGAGACUCUGGAAAAAGGGAGGAUUCACAUCCAGUGCCACUGGGGCAGGGCAGAAUGAGAGUUCAUCAUGCUACAAAGAAUGGCACAGAAUAUACGACUUGUGAGUGGAUUAUCUCUGGAAUUUUCUGUUGACUACAUUUGUACUACAGUUGUAUGUGGGUAACAAACUGUGGAAAGUGAAACUUCGGGUAAGGGGGAGGCUACCGUAGAUAGCCCAGUAUUUCUUAUUUUGUGGAUUUGUUUAUCUUUCUGCUCACAUCCUUUUCCUUCUGCAUUACCAUUUUAGUAAAAAUAGAUAGCAUCCAUUUGGUGUUUAGUAUGUUUUUGGCACAGUCGAACAUUUUACAAACAUUAUAUCAUUUAAUCUGCAUAAAACCUAUACAGUAGGUACAACUAUUAUCCAGUUUUUUAGACAAGGCAAACUGGAUCACAGGGAGUUCAAAACGCCUCUUCCCUUGGUCAAGUUGGGUCAUGUAAUUGUCAAAGUUAAAACAUGCCCCUUAGGAGAUGAUUUAAAAUUCCCUAAUUUUUUAGAAGAAUCUUCAGUUUUCCCAGGAUAGAACAUUUAUUGAUAUGGUAAAUAUGUG
rnacentral:lncRNA from 10 species